AUACGGAGGGUGCAAGCGUUACUCGGAAUCACUGGGCGUAAAGCGCGCGCAGGCGGCUAUUUAAGUUGGAUGUGAAAGCCUACGGCUCAACCGUAGAACUGCAUCCAAAACUAUUUAGCUAGAGUGUGGGAGAGGAAGAUGGAAUUAGUUGUGUAGGGGUAAAAUCCGUAGAGAUAAAUAGGAAUACCAAAAGCGAAGGCAAUCUUCUGGAACACUACUGACGCUGAGGCGCGAAAGCGUGGGGAGCAAACGGGAUUAGAAACCCUAGUAGUCC
rnacentral:rRNA from 1 species